AUGUGGUUUGUGUAUAAGGGGACGAUUUUGAUACAGGACAACUUGGCGAAACGUAGAUGAGAAGAUAGUAAAUGGUGGUGUUUCUGUGAUCAAGAUGAAAUAAUUCAACAUCUUUUUCUCAAAUGCCCACUAGCCAGGUUAUUGUGGCGUACAAUACAUGUUUCCUUUAAUAUCUGUGCACCUAAUAGCAUAUAUCUCUGUUUUAUUUGGACAAUCACUUUUGGGUUGAUUGACAUUUGUAGAUUGUAA
rnacentral:rRNA from 1 species